rnacentral:RNase_P_RNA from 1 species
GAAGCAAGCCAGACCGUCGCUGGUGCAAGCAUGGAAACAUGGCACUGGAGGAAGGUCCGGACUGCAUAGAGCAGCGUAGCAGCUAACGGCUGCCCACCGCGAGGUGAGGAUUAGAGCAACAGAGACGAGCCGGUUAAGUCCGGAUGAAACGGGCAAUCUCUACGCGCAGCAACACCAAGUAGGCCAGCGUUGAUGCGGCUCGCAGAGCUGGCGGGUAGGUGGCACCGAGCCGGGCAGCGAUGUCCGGCCAAGAGGAAUGACGGUCACGCACCCGGCUUCGCAAGAGGCCGGGCGUGCACAGAAUCCGGCCUAUCGGCUUGCUUCACAC